UACGACUACAUACAGGCAUAUCAAUAAGCGGAGGAAAAGAAACUAACAAGGAUUCCCUUAGUAACGGCGAGUGAAGCGGGAAGAGCUCAAAUUUGAAAUCUUCAAGGUUCUACCUUGACGAAUUGUAGCUUAAAGAAGUGUUUUCUGUUAGAUGAGUAGCAAAAGUUCCUUGGAAUGGGACAUCAUAGAGGGUGAGAAUCCCGUAUUUGGUUAUUCAUUCUAGCUUUGUGAUACACUUUCAAAGAGUCGGAUUGUUUGGGAAUGCAGUCCAAAAUGGGUGGUAAAUUUCAUCUAAAGCUAAAUAUUGGCGAGAGACCGAUAGCGAACAAGUACCGUGAGGGAAAGAUGAAAAGAACUUUGAAAAGAGAGUUAAACAGUACGUGAAAUUGUCAAAAGGGAAGCGUUUGACACCAGUGUUGUUUUUUCCGAAAAUCAAUUACGAAUGGCUUGAUUUUGUGUUGUAUUGACCUUAUCAGCUUUCUGCACUUUUUUCGAGUCUUUCUUAAUGCACUUUUUGGUUAACAAGUCAACAUCAAUUUCUUUUGUUGUAAAAGAGUAUUCGGAAGGUGGCUUUCUUUUCGGAGAAAGUGUUUAUAGCCCUAUACUUCUACAAUCGGAGAGAUUGAGGUCUGCAGCGUAGAUCCUUCGGGGUUAGAUACACUUGUGCUAAGUUGUAGCUUUUCAUAGACAACUUGUUGACUAUGUUUAGUCAUGCGGCUUACUCGCUUAUGCCUAUUUUACCUACGCUUAGGAUGUUGAGUAGCGACAUACGCAC
rnacentral:rRNA from 1 species